rnacentral:rRNA from 1 species
ACGCUGGCGGCACGCCUAACACAUGCAAGUCGAACGAAGUAGCAAUACUUAGUGGCAGACGGGUGAGUAACAUGUGGGUAUCUGCCCUUUGGCCUGGAAUAACACGAGGAAACUUGUGCUAAUACCGGAUAAGUCUUUACGGAGAAAGCUUUAUGCACCAUUGGAUGAGCCUGCACUUGAUUAGUUUGUUGGUGGGGUAAUGGCCUACCAAGACUGUGAUCAAUAGCUGAUUUGAGAGGAUGAUCAGCCACAUUGGGACUGAGACACGGCCCAAACUCCUACGGGAGGCAGCAGUGGGGAAUCUUGCACAAUGGAGGAAACUCUGAUGCAGCGAUGCCGCGUGAGUGAAGAAGGCCUUUGGGUUGUAAAGCUCUUUCGUCGGGGAAGAAAAUGACUGUACCCGAAUAAGAAGGUCCGGCUAACUUCGUGCCAGCAGCCGCGGUAAUACGAAGGGACCUAGCGUAGUUCGGAAUUACUGGGCUUAAAGAGUUCGUAGGUGGUUGAAAAAGUUAGUGGUGAAAUCCCAGAGCUUAACUCUGGAACUGCCAUUAAAACUUUUCAGCUAGAGUAUGAUAGAGGAAAGCAGAAUUUCUAGUGUAGAGGUGAAAUUCGUAGAUAUUAGAAAGAAUACCAAUUGCGAAGGCAGCUUUCUGGAUCAUUACUGACACUGAGGAACGAAAGCAUGGGUAGCGAAGAGGAUUAGAUACCCUCGUAGUCCAUGCCGUAAACGAUGUGUGUUAGACGUUGGAAAUUUAUUUUCAGUGUCGCAGGGAAACCGAUAAACACACCGCCUGGGGAGUACGACCGCAAGGUUAAAACUCAAAUGAAUUGACGGGGACCCGCACAAGUAGUGGAGCAUGUGGUUUAAUUCGAAGAUACGCGCAGAACCUUACCAACACUUGACAUGUUCGUCGCGACUCUAAGAGAUUAGAGUUUUCGGUUCGGCCGGACGAAACACAGGUGCUGCAUGGCUGUCGUCAGCUCGUGUCGUGAGAUGUUGGGUUAAGUCCCGCAACGAGCGCAACCCUCACUUUUAGUUGCCAUCAUUAAGUUGGGCACUCUGAAAGAACUGCCAGUGAUAAGCUGGAGGAAGGUGGGGAUGACGUCAAGUCCUCAUGGCCCUUACGUGUUGGGCUACACACGUGCUACAAUGGUAUCUACAACAGGAAGCAAAACUGCGAAGUUAAGCAAAUCCCUAAAAGAUACCUCAGUUCGGAUUGCACUCUGCAACUCGAGUGCAUGAAGCUGGAAUUACUAGUAAUCGUGGAUCAGCGUGCCACGGUGAAUGCGUUCCCGGGUCUUGUACACACCGCCCGUCA